rnacentral:rRNA from 1 species
AGAAUCAACGCUGGCGGCGUGCCUAACACAUGCAAGUCGCACGAGAAAGGGGAGCAAUCCCUGAGUACAGUGGCGCACGGGUGAGUAACACGUGAAUCAUCUACCUCCGAGUGGGGAAUAACUGAGAGAAAUCUUAGCUAAUACCGCAUAAUACCCACGGGUCAAAGCAGCAAUGCGCUUGGAGAGGAGUUCGCGGCAGAUUAGUUAGUUGGCGGGGUAAUGGCCCACCAAGACGAUGAUCUGUAUCCGGCCUGAGAGGGCGCACGGACACACUGGAACUGAAACACGGUCCAGACUCCUACGGGAGGCAGCAGUGGGGAAUUUUGCGCAAUGGGGGAAACCCUGACGCAGCAACGCCGCGUGGAGGAUGAAGCCCCUUGGGUGUAAACUCCUUUCGAUCGGGAAGAUAAUGACGGUACCGAUAUAAGAAGCCCCGGCUAACUUCGUGCCAGCAGCCGC